rnacentral:rRNA from 1 species
UACAGAGGGGGCAAGCGUUGUUCGGAAUUACUGGGCGUAAAGGGCGCGUAGGCGGCCUUCUAAGUCGAACGUGAAAUCCCCGGGCUCAACCCGGGAACUGCGUCCGAUACUGGAUGGCUUGAGUUUGGGAGAGGGAUGCGGAAUUCCAGGUGUAGCGGUGAAAUGCGUAGAUAUCUGGAGGAACACCGGUGGCGAAGGCGGCAUCCUGGACCAACACUGACGCUGAGUGAGCGAAAGCCAGGGGAGCAAACGGG